CGCGGGGUAGAGCAGUGGUAGCUCGGGAGGCUCAUAAUCUCCAGGUCAGUGGUUCGAAUCCACUCCCCGCAA
rnacentral:tRNA from 2 species